rnacentral:rRNA from 1 species
GACAGAGGCCUCAAGCGUUAGGCGGAAUCACUGGGCUUAAAGCGUGUGUAGGCGGAUCGUUAAGUGUCUUGUGAAAUCCCACGGCUCACCCGUGGAACUGCUGGGCAUACUGGCGAUCUUGGGCCAACUAGGGGCAGCCGGAACAAGCGGUGGAGCGGUGAAAUGCGUAGAUAUCGCUUGGAACGCCGAAGGUGAAAACAGGCUGCUGGGGUUGCGCC